rnacentral:rRNA from 1 species
UACGUAGGGUGCAAGCGUUGUCCGGAAUUAUUGGGCGUAAAGAGCUCGUAGGCGGUUUGUCGCGUCUGGUGUGAAAACUCAGGGCUUAACUCUGAGCUUGCAUCGGGUACGGGCAGACUAGAGUGUGCUAGGGGAGACUGGAAUUCCUGGUGUAGCGGUGAAAUGCGCAGAUAUCAGGAGGAACACCGGUGGCGAAGGCGGGUCUCUGGGCCGAUAUUGACGCUGAGGAGCGAAAGCGUGGGGAGCGAACAGG